ensembl:lncRNA
GAAAAGGUGAAGUAGAUGGUUUCAAACGCUGCUGGCCUCACUGUCCGUGAUCCGUCUGUGCCGGUAGUUCAGGCGCGGAAUCGCGGGCGUUAGCCCUGGUGAGCAGCGCUGCUGGGAGGGCGGCUGCGAGUGCGCAUGUCUCUCUACGUGUAGCCAGGUUCCUCAUGAGCGGACGUCCAGAGCUGGGAAGGAAGAUAAGCGGCCCCUUUUCCAUGCAAACAAGACUUUGUCCCAUGCUUUUCUCAGGAAAAAUCAGGAUUUUUCUCUGUUUAUGAGUUAUCAACCAUUAUAAAGUUUUCAGCUACUGACUUGAUAAAAUGUCUUUCUUCUCGUCAUGGAUCAAAGCUAUUUUCAUCAUUUUCUUUGCAUUUCUUCUUUGCUCUGGGGUCAAUUCCAUUGUUGUUAUAUGCAAAGUGUGAGGAGAAAUGAUUUCUUCUAGAUCUGGUAUUUCUUGACAAUCGGAUUUGCUGUUUGCCAGCUGAUUCCUCUUUUUCAAGGCCUUGUGUAAGAAGGGAACUCAUUGUUGACCUUGUCACUGUGUUACCUUCCUUAAAGCUUAUGGUGGCUAAAUAAAUUUCAGA